AAAGGGUCCGCAGGCGGGUUUAUAAGUCAGUGGUGAAAGCCUACAGCUCAACUGUAGAACUGCCAUUGAUACUGUAGAUCUUGAAUUCGGUCGAAGUGGGCGGAAUAUGACAUGUAGCGGUGAAAUGCUUAGAUAUGUCAUAGAACACCGAUAGCGAAGGCAGCUCACUAGGCCUGGAUUGACGCUCAGGGACGAAAGCGUGGGGAGCAAACAGGAUUAGAUACCCUAGU
rnacentral:rRNA from 1 species